rnacentral:ncRNA from 1 species
AAGCGAUAAAGGCAAACUCGCGGAGGACGCGGGGGCGCAAAGCCGUGCGUUCCGACGUAAUGUCGGGAUAGGCAGGUUGCCGAA